AGUGAACGCUGGCGGUAGGCCUAACACAUGCAAGUCGAACGGCAGCACAGUAAGAGCUUGCUCUUACGGGUGGCGAGUGGCGGACGGGUGAGGAAUACAUCGGAAUCUACUUUUUCGUGGGGGAUAACGUAGGGAAACUUACGCUAAUACCGCAUACGACCUACGGGUGAAAGCAGGGGAUCUUCGGACCUUGCGCGAUUGAAUGAGCCGAUGUCGGAUUAGCUAGUUGGCGGGGUAAAGGCCCACCAAGGCGACGAUCCGUAGCUGGUCUGAGAGGAUGAUCGGCCACACUGGAACUGAGACACGGUCCAGACUCCUACGGGAGGCAGCAGUGGGAAAUAUUGAAAAAUGGCGCAAGCCUGAUCCAGCCAUACCGCGUGGGUGAAGAAGGCCUUCGGGUUGUAAAGCCCUUUUGUUGGGAAAGAAAAGCAGCAGGUUAAUACCCCGCUGUUCUGACGGUACCCAAAGAAUAAGCACCGGCUAACUUCGUG
rnacentral:rRNA from 1 species